rnacentral:lncRNA from 1 species
GCUUAGAAGACACCCUGAAAUAAAGGUGAGAAGUUCUUUGUUUGAAACAUUAACAGCAGCCACCACCCUUAACAAGCAAAUGAAGCAUAGUUAUUUUUUAAAGAACACAAAUUAAAUGUUCAAACUGCACUUUCCCCUUGAAUUACAUGGCUCCCAAAGGGGGGAAAAAAAAAAAGUUUGAAAGGAUUGAGAAAACAACUUCAAAACAAAAUUGAG